rnacentral:SRP_RNA from 1 species
GCCGGGCGUGGUGGCUUACGCCUGUAAUCCCAGCACUUCGGGAGGCCGAGGUGGGUGGAUCACCUGAGGUCAGGAGUUCAUGACCAGCCUGGCCAACAUGGUGAAACCCCAUCUCUA